rnacentral:rRNA from 1 species
AUAAUACUCCAUAGAUUAGAGACACUGGAAUGUUCUUUAGUCGAAAGUUCUGGCGCCUUAGGAUGGAUCUGCGGUCGAUUAGGUUGUUGUUGGGGUAACGGCCCAACAAGCCUGUAAUCGAUACGGGUUGUGGGAGCAAGAGCCCGGAGAUGGAAUCUGAGACACGAUUCCAGGCCCUACGGGGCGCAGCAGGCGCGAAAACUUUACAAUGCAGGAAACUGUGAUAAGGGAACUCCGAGUGCCCGUAUACGCGGGCUGUCCAGGUGUUUAAAAAUCAUCUGAAGAAAGGGCCGGGCAAGACCGGUGCCAGCCGCCGCGGUAAUACCGGCGGCUCGAGUGGUGGCCACUAUUAUUGGGCUUAAAGCGUCCGUAGCUGGACCGAUAAGUCUCUUGGGAAGUCCGCCGGCUCAACCGGCGGGCGUCUAAGGGAUACUGUUAGUCUAGGGACCGGGAGAGGUGAGAGGUACUCCGGGGGUAGGAGUGAAAUCCUGUAAUCCCCGGGGGACCACCGAUGGCGAAGGCAUCUCACCAGAACGGCUCCGACAGUGAGGGACGAAAGCUGGGGGAGCGAACCGGAUUAGAUACCCGGGUAGUCCCAGCCGUAAACUAUGCGCGUUAGGUGU